rnacentral:rRNA from 1 species
UACGGAGGGGGCAAGCGUUGUUCGGAAUUAUUGGGCGUAAAGCGUAUGUAGGCGGCUAAGUAAGUCAGGCGUGCAAGCCCGUGGCUCAACCACGGAAUUGCGUUUGAAACUGCUUAGCUUGAGUGCAGGAGAGGAAAGCGGAAUUCCCAGUGUAGCGGUGAAAUGCAUUGAUAUUCGGAGGAACACCAAUUGCGAAGGCAGUUCACUGGACCGUGAUCGACGCUGAGGAGCGAAAGCUAGGGGAGCAAACAGG